rnacentral:rRNA from 1 species
UACGUAGGUGACAAGCGUUGUCCGGAUUUACUGGGCGUAAAGAGCGCGCAGGCGGUCGUUCAAGUCGAGUGUGAAAGCCCCCGGCUCAACUGGGGAGGGUCAUUCGAUACUGAUCGACUCGAAGGCAGGAGAGGGUAGUGGAAUUCCCGGUGUAGUGGUGAAAUGCGUAGAUAUCGGGAGGAACACCAAUGGCGAAGGCAGCUCGCUGGGACGUUACUGACGCUGAGACGCGAAAGCGUGGGGAGCAAACAGG